rnacentral:lncRNA from 1 species
GUUUCUAAUCUGGUUACCAUACUUCAUAUCAGAAUUUUACAAAUCUACAUUAGUUUGCUGACUUGGGGAAGAGUAUGAAUCAUUCAUACAAAACGUCACCAUUAGAGGUACAGACAUUUCUUAUGUAUAGAUAAAAGCGAUGUUUGCAAACAUAAAAACUCGUCAACUGCAAAAGAAUCCUAGCCUCACACCACCAAUAUCGCAGAAAUGGGUCAUGGAACAUUAAAUUGUAGGUAUGUUUCUGUAAAGUUCCCGACAACGACCACUAUACGAUGAUUGGUUGCUAAACAGAGCAAAUCCGUCAAUACAGUGGCUCCCAAAGAGCCUACUAAUCUGUAGUGGUACCCGAAUUCCAGGGGCCACUAAUCACAUCGUAUCGGCCAAGGCCUACAUAGGUAACGAUUAUUUAUGACAACUGAAAAUAUUUGUGGUUCCCAAUUGAAAAUGUUUUACCCUCUUUAGAAUGGAUAGUUAUAAUAUAUAUAUAGUUAUAUAUAUUAUGAAAAUCAUAAUAUCAAUCUUAUCGUAUUUUAUUUUUUAUUCAUUUGUAUUUUAAAACAUUCUACUUCAAUAUCUUUAAUGAAUUUUUUUAAUAUUUACAAAAAUAAUAAUAAUCCUAAUAAAUUUAUAAUUUGGAUUGAGGUGUAAGGUGAUUACCCAAGGGUCUAAACUGCAAAGCAAUGAGAGCAGUUAAUUCUCGAACAUCAGAAUCACAUGAAAUGAAGUAUGAAAAUAUUUUUUCUUUAUUUCAUUAAAAAAAUACAAGUCUUGAUUUUUGAAGAUAUUCCAUUAUUCCAAUAAUACCAUAAUCAUCAUAUUUCAUUUUUUUAGAUAUGUUUUGAAAUUCAAAUUGUGUUAUACUUUUCAUUUAAAUGAUUGGAAUGACGGUAUUUAUCUUUGUAGAAUUGUGUGUGCAUCUGAAUAAGAAAAUAUCUACCAUUUAUACAACAGCUACACACGUCUACACUACAUUCCUCUGCAACAUUACACUAUAGUGGUUUCA